ACCCAAUCCACCACUCACUCCCUCUCGACUCGCCUAGGGUUAGGGGCUUUGGGGGCGGGCGGCCGGUGGCCGGCGAGCGCACACAUCUCGCUCACGACCCGGGUGCGGUCGGCGGCGUCGUCUCCAUGUCUGUGGAGGGCACGGCCGCACGGAGGCAAGAGCUGCGGAGCACGGGAAUAGAACGCUGGGCGACCACCGCGGCACCGCCGGAGGAUGGAGGCGGAGCGCGUGCUGCGGCUUGCGAUCUGCCACUGCGUCCGUACCAGCAUAAACCAAUGGACGAGGCUGAAGAAAAUUCAGCAAAAGAUCAACCACCUGAUGAACUAGGUCAGGUUUUAGUCGAUGCACAGAGAGAUAGUGAAACUUUGAAGGAGUCAAAGAAGUUUGAGAUAAUGUUGGAUGAUCACAAAAAAUGUUAUACCCAAAUUGCAAGUAGGGGCUUAAAAAGUUGGGUACCACGCUGGAAAUGCUGCAAUGGAAGGCAGCCAAUGAUAUUACCGAUAAGGGAUUUGAGGAGCUACUUGGUAUUGUAAAGAAAAUGCUUCCAGAGGAGAACGAAUUGCCCGCUACAACUGUAACGAACAUGACACCAUUUAUGCCAUUUCGAGUGAUUUUGGUGAUCGUAUGACAACA